GCUGUAGCUCAUUGGUAGGGCAUCUGCAGAAGGUCCCACGUUCAAUUCCUGGUGUCUCCA
rnacentral:tRNA from 1 species